rnacentral:lncRNA from 1 species
CAUGUGGUGGCUUGUGGGGUGGCUUGUGUUUUGGUACUGGUUUCUGUCCCUUUCCUUUAUAUGAAUCCUCGGCUAGCUCUUCCUCAGCCAAAAGAUGUCCAUGUGGCGGCUUAUGCUUUGGUGGUGGCUUAUUACCCUUAUGUGAGUCCUCUACAACCUCUGUAGCUAAAAGACGUCUGAGGGGUGGUUUGUGCUCUGGUGGUGGCUUGUGCGGUGGUUUGUGCUCGGAUGAUGGCUUUUGAGGUGGAAAAUUCUUAGGAGGUGGUUUCUCUCCCUUACCCUUAAAUGGCGGUUUUUGGAAGUCCUCUACGCUAUCCUCGCUUAAUAGGUGCCCAUGUGGUGGCUUGUGUGGUGGUUUGUGCUCUGGUGUUGGCUUUUGAGGUGGAAAAUUCUUAGGUGGUGGCUUUUGAGGUGGAAAAUUCUUAGGAGGUGGGUUCUCUCCCUUACCCUUAAAUGGUGGUUUUUGGAAGUCCUCUUCGCUAUCCUCACUUAAUAGGUGACCAUGUGGUGGCUUGUGUGGGGGGUUGUGCUCUGGGGGUGGCUUUUGAGGUGGGAAAUUCUUAGGUGGUGGCUUUUGAGGUGGAAAAUUCUUAGGAGGUGGGUUCUCUCCCUUACCCUUAAAUGGUGGUUUUUGGAAGUCCUCUUCGCUAUCCUCACUUAAUAGGUGACCAUGUGGUGGCUUGUGUGGUGGGUUGUGGUCUGGUGUUGGCUUUUGAGGUGGAAAAUUCUUAGGAGGUGGUUUCUCUCCCUUACCCUUGUAAGGUGGAUCAUGGACAUCCUCUACAUUAUCCUCACUUAACAGAUGACCAUGUGGUGGCUUGUGCUGUGAGUGGUGGUGAUCAUAAUGAUCAGCUAAUGAAGAAGAAAUGGAGAGAAUCACGACUGCUCCAAUAAGGAGCAACACUCGCAAGUUUUUAGAAGAGAACAUGUUUGA